CCUACGGGGGGCAGCAGUGAGGAAUAUUGGUCAAUGGGCGGAAGCCUGAACCAGCCAAGUCGCGUGAGGGAGUAAGGCCCUACGGGUCGUAAACCUCUUUUGCCGGGGCGCAGUGCCCAGCUCGUGAGCUGGGAGGGAGCGUACCCGGAGAAAAAGCAUCGGCUAACUCCGUGCCAGCAGCCGCGGUAAUACGGGGGAUGCGAGCGUUAUCCGGAUUUAUGGGGUUUAAAGGGUGCGUAGGCGGGCCUUCAGGCGGCGGUAAAAUUGCGGGGCUCAACCCCGCCGAGCCGUCGGAACCGGGGGCCAUGAGUACCGGAGAAGUACGCGGAAUGCGUGGUGUAGCGGUGAAAUGCAUAGAGAUCACGCAGAACCCCGAUUGCGAAGGCAGCAUACCGGCCGGUCACUGACGCUGAGGCACGAAAGCGCGGGUAUCGAACAGGAUUAGAUACCCUUGUAGUC
rnacentral:rRNA from 1 species